GACGAACGCUGGCGGCGUGCCUAACACAUGCAAGUCGAGCGAUGAAGCUUCUUCGGAAGUGGAUUAGCGGCGGACGGGUGAGUAACACGUGGGUAACCUGCCUCAUAGUGGGGAAUAGCCUUUCGAAAGGAAGAUUAAUACCGCAUAAGAUUGUAGCUUCGCAUGAAGUAGCAAUUAAAGGAUUUAUUCGCUAUGAGAUGGACCCGCGGCGCAUUAGCUAGUUGGUGAGGUAACGGCCACCAAGGCGACGAUGCGUAGCCGACCUGAGAGGUGAUCGGCCACAUUGGAACUGAGACAGGUCCAGACUCCUACGGGAGGCAGCAGUGGGAAUAUUGCACAAUGGGGGAAACCCUGAUGCAGCAACGCCGCGUGAGUGAUGACGGUCUUCGGAUUGUAAAGCUCUGUCUUUAGGGACG
rnacentral:rRNA from 1 species